rnacentral:rRNA from 1 species
AUAUCAGUAAGCAGAGGAAAAGAAACUAACAAGGAUUCCCGUAGUAAGGGCGACUGAACGGGGAAGAGUCCAGCGCUGAAUCCGAGCCUCUCCCGCAGGGGCAAGGAGCUGUAGCGUAUAGAGUGCGGUGUCGUCGCGGUCCCUGCCGCUCCAAGUCUCCCUUGAGUGGGGCCCCUGAGAAGGUGCUAGGCCUGUCGGGGUGGCGGUGGUCGUGGCGGUUUGCACCACGCUCUCGGAGUCGGGUUGUUUGGGAACGCAGCCCAAAGUGGGUGGUAAACUUCAUCUAAGACUAAAUACGACUACGAAACCGAUAGCGAACAAGUACCGUGAGGGAAAGUUGCAAAGCACUUUGAAGAGAGAGUUAAAGAGGACGUGAAACCGAUGAGGUGGAAGCGGAUAGAGCCAACGUAUCUGGCUUGCAUUCAGCCGUGCGGCUGGCGUCCGCCCUGCGAGUGGAACCCGCUUCUGGUCCGCUCGUGGGUGCUGGCCGUCGGCCGUCGGUGCAUUUGUGAGUGGAGUGCGCUGAGGUGUGCGCCACAGCGGUCCGAGGCGCUCGCCAGAGGACUCCUCUUCGGGGGAGAAACCCGGCGACGUGGAGGACUGUUUGCGA